CCCAAAACCCCUUUGUGCUAUAUAUAUAUAUAUAUAUUGCGUCUCAUAUCAUUCAGGCACGCGUCUAGGCCCCAAAACCCCUUUGUGCUCCCUUAAGAACAACGGUGCAUAUACUUUUCUUCUAGGUGGUUAGAUUGUUAAUUGAUAUCUACUUUGAAGAUUGUUAAUUUUUUUCUAUCAAUUUGAUUAAAAAGCCUUACUUUCUAGAAUUUGUAAGAAUAUUAAAGGCAAAUUUAUUUUAUUUAUUUAGCACCUCACCCCUCUCAUACACACGCUUCCACCUAGGUUCCAAACCCUUUUGUUUGUGUAACUAUGACAUUUCCACAAAAAAGACAACCAUGAACUCUUGCUCACACACGCAUGGACACAAAGGUAGUAAAUAGAGCAUUGAAAGGAAUCAAUUCAAUAACUGAAACAAAUUAUUUAUGGAGAAUAAUUG
rnacentral:misc_RNA from 1 species